UUGCACUUGUAUUUGAAUUCAUGUUUGCACGUGCCCGAUCCUGCUUACAGGAGUCCUUGGUUUUAGGUUAUCCAUUUUCAAUUCCCUGUCCUGAGGUAAGGAGGCUAUCACCCAAGAUUUCCCAGAGGAUGGUCCAUCCUUCCUUCGAUGUGGUGAAGUUGUCAUCUCCCCUUCGCAAAGAAACACUCCCAAUAUAUAAUCAUAAUGUUCCUACACCAUGCUUGAUGAUGGGGAUUUUUCUUCCUCCAAACAAUUUUGUUUUGUUCAUCUAAUCAAAUGUCCCUCACUGUUAAAAUAAACCUCUUGCCAAGUAAUAAUUAUAAAGCGUUCUUUUAUUUGACAAUGGGCAAACUUACAAAUCGGCAAGUCAUCGAUUCUCCUCUGUAGAGCCGGAUUAACAUCAACGCCAUAAUGUUUAACUUUCAAAGGCCAUUGGAUCAUUUUGAGCUGUGUCCAGAUUAUGAUUAUCUAUCCAUGAAGAUGUCAAGAAAUGUGAAUCCAAGAGAUUAAUUAAAUAUGGAUGUGAUUCAAACAUCAACUUCUUAAUAUUUCUAUAAUCAGCAAAUCAGCUCACCAUUUCUUGAAAUCAAUCUAUGAACAUAAAUAUUAAUCGAUAUUAUGUUAUGUUAUGUACCAUCCGAAUCUCCUUUCAAUGAGGUCAUAAUUUAUUUUUAUGCCUAAUAUAUACUUAACAUGUUUUAAAUGUAGGAGAUAAGUCUUCAGCCGAUCCUUUAACUGUGUGAAUUGCAGUUUGAAAUGUUUUAUUGGAUAAACUGUUGCGCUUACCCGAUAUUGUUUUCCACUUUAAAAACUAAUCUCCCAAGGAAAUCAGAUACUAUAUUUGUAUUCUUUGAACGUUAGAAAUAGAUUUUCUACCGGCAUCCCUUAAUUUAAUAUGAAAAUGUUUCGAUGUAACUUUGCAAUUCUCCGUUAUUUUUACCAUAAUGAUUUAUAAUAAUUACUUAAUUAGUUAACUUAUGCGCGUAUUUGAUGCACAUGCUUAUUUCCUUUUCAAAAAUAGGUUUAAUGCCGUCUAAUUUUGCAGGUUUUUUUUUUAAUUUCAAAAGAUGGGAAGACGAAAUUUUGACCCCAUAAAAAAUUAUUUUUUAUAUAUUU
rnacentral:lncRNA from 1 species